rnacentral:rRNA from 1 species
UACGUAGGCAGCGAGCGUUGUUCGGAAUUACUGGGCGUAAAGAGUGUGUAGGCGGUGCUCCCAGUCUGUUGUGAAAUCUCCCGGCUUAACUGGGAGGGUGCAGCGGAAACUAGAGUGCUAGAGGGUGGGAGAGGUAAGCGGAAUUCCUGGUGUAGCGGUGAAAUGCGUAGAUAUCAGGAGGAACACCGGUGGCGAAGGCGGUUCUCUGGGCCUUACCUGACGCUGAGGAGCGAAAGCGUGGGGAGCGAACAGG